GGGUCAGUAGGUUGGUCGUGCCACCGGUACGUACUGGUCUCACUGAUUCCUCCUUCCUGAAGAACCGUAAUGCCAUUAAUUUGGUGUUGCGGGGAAACAGGUCUGUUACUUUGAAAAAAUUAGAGUGUUUAAAGCAAGCUAACGCUUGGAUACAUUAGCAUGGAAUAAUGAAAUAGGACGAUCGAUCCUAUUUUGUUGGUUUCUAGGAUUGACGUA
rnacentral:rRNA from 1 species